rnacentral:rRNA from 1 species
GACGAACCGUGCAAACGUUGUUCGGAAUCACUGGGCUUAAAGGGCGCGUAGGCGGGCCAGCCAGUCUGUGGUGAAAGCCUCCAGCUUAACUGGAGAAGUGCCGUGGAUACUGCUGGUCUCGAGGAGGGUAGGGGCAUCUGGAACGGUCGGUGGAGCGGUGAAAUGCGUUGAUAUCGACCGGAACUCCGGUGGCGAAGGCGAGGUGCUGGGCCCUUUCUGACGCUGAGUGCGCGAAAGCCAGGGGAGCAAACGGG